UGGGGAAUAUUGGACAAUGGGCGCAAGCCUGAUCCAGCCAUGCCGCGUGAGUGAUGAAGGCCCUAGGGUUGUAAAGCUCUUUCACCGGUGAAGAUAAUGACGGUAACCGGAGAAGAAGCCCCGGCUAACUUCGUGCCAGCAGCCGCGGUAAUACGAAGGGGGCUAGCGUUGUUCGGAUUUACUGGGCGUAAAGCGCACGUAGGCGGACUUUUAAGUCAGGGGUGAAAUCCCGGGGCUCAACCCCGGAACUGCCUUUGAUACUGGAAGUCUUGAGUAUGGUAGAGGUGAGUGGAAUUCCGAGUGUAGAGGUGAAAUUCGUAGAUAUUCGGAGGAACACCAGUGGCGAAGGCGGCUCACUGGGCCAUUACUAACGCUGAGGUGCGAAAGCGUGGGGAGCAAACAGG
rnacentral:rRNA from 1 species